rnacentral:lncRNA from 1 species
GGCAGAGGUGACAUUCCGGGGGCAGCCAAGACCAGGCAUUAAGGAGACUCCAGCAGCUCCCGUUUUUGUGUUCUGGUGGAAGCACAUCGCCAUAGAAGUCUCCUUACCGCUGAGGCAGGAGAAUAGGGUCUGGAGGCAGGGAACUUAAGCCCAAUUCAUGCCGACUUCCUAAAGCUGAAUCAAGGGAAAACACCAAGGUCUGGGGGCAGGACUCUGAGGCCAAUUCACGAUAAUUUCCCAAAGCUGGACCAAAAGGGGAGCACCUGUGUCUGGGGCAGGGAACCAAAGAACAAUUAAUGCCAACUUCCUAAAGCUAAACCAAAAGAGAAAACCCCAGCUCCCCACGCCCAGUAACAAAGGAUCAAAGGCCACUCUCCCUACAGCCCUCCGGCUUCCACCACAGCUCAGAUGGAAAGGGAGAGUGCCCUGGAUUGGCCGCGGGCCGAGCAGGGGCCAUGCCUUCAUCUGCCUAGGGCUCUAAUUCACCCCAGCCUGUAAUUAGCCACGGACCAAAUCCUUCAUCCAGAUCAGGGGUAACUGAUAGGAAUCUCCAAAGGAGGGCUUAAAACCCAGAAAACUUUGUAACUGGGCCCUUAAGCUGUGUGCUUGGGCCCACUCCCACCCUGUGGAGUACUUUCUUGCUUUAAUAAAUAUCUGCUUUCAUUGCUUCCUUCC